GACAGAGGGUGCAAACGUUGUUCGGAAUUACUGGGCGUAAAGCGCGUGUAGGCGGCUCUGCAAGUCGGAUGUGAAAGCCCUCGGCUCAACCGAGGAAGUGCACCCGAAACUGCAGAGCUAGAGUCUCGGAGAGGAUCGUGGAAUUCUCGGUGUAGCAGUGAAAUGCGUGGAUAUCGAGAAGAACACUUAGGGCGAAAGCAAGACUCUGGACAAAUGCUGGCGCUCAUGCACGAAGGCUAGGGUAGCGAACGGG
rnacentral:rRNA from 1 species